rnacentral:rRNA from 1 species
UACGAAGGGGGCUAGCGUUGCUCGGAAUCACUGGGCGUAAAGGGUGCGUAGGCGGGUCUUUAAGUCAGGGGUGAAAUCCUGGAGCUCAACUCCAGAACUGCCUUUGAUACUGAAGAUCUUGAGUUCGGAGAGGUGAGUGGAACUGCGAGUGUAGAGGUGAAAUUCGUAGAUAUUCGGAGGAACACCAGUGGCGAAGGCGGCUCACUGGUCCAUUACUGACGCUGAGGUGCGAAAGCGUGGGAGCAAACAGG